rnacentral:rRNA from 1 species
CUCAAAUGAAUUGACGGGGGCCCGCACAAGCGGUGGAGCAUGUGGUUUAAUUCGAUGCAACGCGAAGAACCUUACCUACUCUUGACAUCCAGAGAACUUUCCAGAGAUGGAUUGGUGCCUUCGGGAACUCUGAGACAGGUGCUGCAUGGCUGUCGUCAGCUCGUGUUGUGAAAUGUUGGGUUAAGUCCCGCAACGAGCGCAACCCUUAUC